rnacentral:lncRNA from 1 species
AAAAGCAGUGUCAAAAUGACAGACUGUGCUGUUUUUUCUCUUUCAGUUGAAAAUUAAUCAACAGUCAGAGUGGGAGUCUGACAGCUCAGCCUACACUGGCUCAGAUUUGGAUUAUUACCCUGAUGGGUCAUCCAGUGAUGAAACUGAUGCAGAAGAUAGAAGUGGUGUCUCCCAGGAGGCUAGAGAUGGAAGGUCCCAGUCAGCUAUUACUAUAAAAACAUGUACAAAAAAGGAAGAUAAAAAACGAGUAUGGGACAAAAAACAUUACUGUCUUUACUGUAAGAAACCAAACUCAAAGAUUGCACGGCACCUUGAGAGAAAACAUAGCCAUGAAGUAGACGUUGCACAUGCCUUAAGCAUCACAAAAGGGUCAAAACAGAGAGGUGCAAGGCUUGAAGAGCUAUGCAAUAAGGGUGACUAUCAGCAUAAUGUUCAAGUCCUUGAGGAGGGCAGAGGACAAAUAGUCACCUGGAAGCAACCUGCUGCUAAAGAAUCUAUUGAAGAUUACUUACCCUGUCAGUUCUGUUACGCAAUGUUUAUAAAAACUGAGCUGUGGAAACAUCAAAGAUGCAGGAAGAAAAAGAAGACCAAGAGAGCACAAUCCACUGCUUCAAACUUGAUUCCCAUUUGUAAGUCUUCAGAGGGAUGUGAAAAAAUUAUUCAUGGCAUGCGGCAAGAUCCAGUGGCUUUUCAUAUCAGAACAGACAUGUUGAUUUGCAAAUAUGGAGAUGCAUUAUAUGCCAAAAAAGGGCAUGAACAGUCUCAACAUGGUUACAUUGCACAAAAGAUGAGGGAACUGGGUAGGUUCAUGGUGGCUGUUAAAGAGAUAGACAUUAGUGUAAAGUGUCUUAAAGAUCUGUGCAAACCAUCAAUGUUUGAGCUGGCUGUGAAAGGGGCCCAGAGAGCCACAUCAUUUUGUCCAGAAAAAAAUGCAUACGAAAAACCAGCUUCAGCACUUAAAAUUGGAUAUGCACUUAAAGGAGCUGCCGAGGUCCUAAUUGG